UCAUUGAUGCUGAAGGAACUUUUCACAACACGCUGGUUGCCAAGGAAGAAGGUUCGUCAUUGCUUACUUAYGAGAUCGUCAUGGUGUCUCUCGGUGGAAGUCUCCUACUGUUGGUGGCAGUCAGCAUAGCAGUGCAGGUGCUCUGGAGGCGCUGUGGAUCACAUCGUUCUUCCAAAGAUCUCAGUAGACCUGCAGUGGUUCUGGAAAAUAUUACAGUGGCAAACAAUAGCGCUGAUAAGAUUCCAACAGUGGAUUUGACUGGCCCGGUGUAUAUAAGUUACAUUUCUGAACAGCAAACUGUAUCCACAGAGUUUGCCAUCUCUGAAGAGACAAUUUCCAUUAUGGGGCUGCCAUGCUUCUCCUUUGCUGCCUUGCUAACUCCUCCCAAUUCUCCACCAGAGCAGUGAUACCCCACUGCUUUUCUUAGCAGCUGCUUGCUUUCUUCUGGAGGGAAAAGUGCCUGAAGGACUCUGGGYGUGUGCUAGCAAACUGAUGGAUUGAUACGCCCCACUUCAUUUCCUCCACUGACAGGGGGAAAUGCCUUAGCUUUGGACUAUGAACUCCUACCACACCAGUAUUAGAAAAUGUGAGAAACUGGCAAUUCUUUCUGGCAACAAAGUGCUAACCUUCUUUGUAGAUAUAUGUUCUCUACCUGUGUGAGGUCUUGUGUUAAAAAUUUGCUGAAAGAAAUCC
rnacentral:lncRNA from 1 species